GUUCCCUUUUCCUGCUUUCCAGCCUUCCAGUUCCUGUCCCUCCUUGCAGGCAUAAACAAAAAGAUCUGGAGUGAACAUAUACAGUUGUGUUAACUAUGAAUUUAUCAAGUGGUUACUGUGCUGAAGAAUGUCCUGAAUGCUUGGGAAAAGAGAGGAAGGACCCUCUGCUUCUAGACUCUCUUCACAGAGGUGAUGAAGCAUGAAGAAGCAGGGGACUCAGAAGGCUGCCAACAGCCCAGAUGACCUGGGACAAGUCUGCUCAGCUCUUCUGAGUGUCAGUGUUCCUGCCUGUUGGUUAAAGGAUUUCUACUACAGUGGAACUUUAUUCGUUCACAAGGGCUGGUUGUAACUCACG
rnacentral:lncRNA from 1 species